ACACCUGCCUGGCUGCUGCACAGAGACCUGCUAGGGAACAGAGGAGGCUGAAAAAGGUAAAAUGACAGCAGAGUUUUGCGCAGUUUUGGGCCUGAGUUUCAAAAAUAAUGGGAUGGGACCUUUGAAUCAGCAGAUGGAGAUGCGGCACGGUCCUUUCGCCAGCAUGGAUGACUUUGACUACAGUGUGCACAUUGCAGAGCGUGACUGGAGCACCUUCCUUCAGGAGUGUGAUGAAUGUGACGUCCUUCAGGGCACGCUGGCCAGUCUGGAUGAUUCAGGUAUGAGUGACAAUGACUCCGGCAUGGAGGUAGAGGAGCUGCAGCCCCAACCUUCCUCAAACGGCCAACUUAACCUACAGGGUUCCUCUCUGAACACCAGUGACUUUCAGGUUCCUGACAAUGGUGAGGAGGAGGACUUCAGUUCUCAGAAAGUUACUGCUCGUGAGGAAUCGUCGGCUAUCUUGGAUUGUUCUGAUGACGUUUCCGUGACGAUGCCAAUGAGCACAUGUCACCCAGAAUGUCAGAAUUGUAUCGAUCAUCAAGACAUUCUUGAAAUAGCCACAGAAUCAAAUGACACAUCUUCUUCAGCGGCCAAGGGGAACGUUUGCCAUGAGAGACAUGAGUGCUUGUCUGGACUGAUGGAUCCUAAGCAGGGAGAUGGACGGAGCUCGAACGAACAAAUGGGAAAUCAGCUCUUUCCACAAAGUGUGUUCCUGCCGUCGGAAGAUUCCCCGACUGAUUCACUUACCCGCAAAGAAAUGAUCUCUGAAAGUCCAGAAAACUUCACAAGCGGCACUGAAUUACCAAAGAAAGAGAAGGAGCGCUGGUUUGUGACAGUGGACGUCGGCGUGGCGCGCUCCAGGGCACGAGGGAGCGCACCUGUAAAAAAAAAAAAAAAAAAAAAAAUUUGUAGAGUCUCCUGUGAACUGGGCCUUAAAUGUGAAGAUACAGGCCCAGCAAUUCGGAGUAAACCUGAGCUGAAAGCACCUGCGACUCAAAGUACGGAUCAGACAAACGAGAGCAGUCUCUCAUCACACCAACUGCCCACCUGCACCCCUAAGAACUGUUCGUUCUUUAUUAAAUUACUUUCAGAGAAGCCAGCUACUCAUAAGUCACCAAAAUCCACUGGAAUAGUACCAUCGGAAACAUGCAAAAAUGGAAACACAUUACAAAAACUUGCUAAGAAUUGCAUAACUAAUAGAAAAUCAAAUGCCAUUCACCAUGAACUAUCCUGUACCCGAGAAUCAAUAGAUACUAGUCUGUCAGGCAUUACAAAAACUGAACUGAAGGAACCAAACAAUAGUCUAUAUUUAUCUAUGCCUGCACAUGGAAAAACUCUGGCAUAUGCAACAUGCAAACAGGAAGGUAUUCCAGUUCAAAAUAUCCAACAAGGAAUUAAGUUAUCGCAUUCAACAGGGAAAACAGAAUUAAAGUUACUUGCUCUUGACUCUAAUAAUGAAUAUGAAAAAUAUGAACAUAAAAAACUAAAUAGAGCUACGAGCUUUAAGGAGUGUGAAGGCAAUAAUUUAACCAAGAAAGAUGUUGAUGGUAUACUGAGUGCAAAAUGCAUACUUGUUUCUCCAAGGGAUGAAUCAAAUUCUGUUUUUCUCUCAGAGGACCUGAGAGCAGGUGGUACAACAGCCCAUUUUAACUCAGUUCUCAACCCUACUGGAAAUACUUUGUCCCCAACAACAGUCAACAAAAAUAUACAUGUAGAUGUUAGAGAGUCACAUGUGGAUAGUGCUUUACUACAAGUGACAGGUGUACAACACACCAUGCGGGAAUCUUACUCAGAUGAAGUGGUAGCAGGCAUAUAUAAUUCACAAAAUCACAAUGAAAUUUUAGAUGAAGUGGACUGUAGCGGUUCAUGUAUGACAAACAGAGUUUUUACUAUAGAUGAGCCAGAAAAAAAUGAAGAGAACCAUCCUAAACAAGACAGAAAUGUGCACAUUUUAAAUAUGAACAAAUUCACAGAUUCUACUGGGUUACCAUUGCUUGACCCAGUUGAGACUAAGGCGCAUAAGCCUCAGAGUGAUUUUAGGCCGACUCACAGGUACCAGACUAACUGCAGCACAAAAACUGAGUCUUCUCUAUCCCAAGAACCGAUGACUUUAGAUCCUGAACACCCAGUGUAUGCCAUUUCUUCCUUUUGGGAUGAAAUGGAAAAAUUAACUAUCAGUGAUAUUUUACAGUUGAAACUAGUUGGCCACACUUAUUCACCACAGACAUUUCCUCAUAUCCAAGACAAUGUCGUUGUCGACACCUCAGAUGCCGACGAUGCAGGCUACUUCACUAAUGUGGAUGAAUUUAAGCCUGAUUGCUCUAUGGCUGAAGUUCCCACAUUCUCAGAUUUUGGAGAAAAGGGCUCACACUCUCUAAACUCUCUAAGUUCCACUCCUGAGCCUCAAGAUACAAAGAACAGAAGGUCAUCUGAUACUUUGAUUUUAAGGGAUGAUGUGCGGAACAAGCAAUUAUACCUGAAUGCAGGAACCGAAAAAGAGUCAAAAAAGAGGACAAAAUCCUGUGCAGAGAACCCUUUUCCUCAUCUCCACUGUUCAAAUGUAUGUCAGCAUGGAUUUAAUCAAAAGAGACCUCAAAACUGUAAGACAGCUUAUCAAAUGAACAAUGUUGAUGAUGGAAAUUCAAACAGUCUUUCAGUACCUGAAAUGUAUGACUAUUUUCUCUUUGAGUCCAAACCUAGCAAUUUCUGUUCUUCUCUAAUUAAGAACAAUGAGACAGUGCCCAUAUUCUCCAGCUCACAAUCAAUAAGACAAAGUCUGCAGUUUCCAGAGGUAUAUGACUGCUUGCUCCCUGAUGACUCACUCAUUCAGCUGGAAGAUGAGGAAGAUCGCACACCAAUCCGAGUGGUAACACGCUUUGACAGCAGAAUCAGUGACCUGUUGAACACAGAGGUAGUGCCAGAUUCAUAUGAACACUUUUGUACGGAUAGCGACUGGAGAGGAAAUCUAUUCUGGAGGCACCCUCUGUCUUUCAGACGAACGUGUUUCACAUGGAGAAACUUUGGUCAACUCUGGUAUAAUCCAGUUUUUGGGAGAAUUGAAGCAAUACGUGGAAGGCAGUCACUUUGUACAACCAUAAGGUCAAACAUUUCACAAGAUGUUCAGCACUGUGGUGCAGACAUUUGCUACCUGGAAAAACAUAUCUUUAGUGGACUUGCAGAACGAGAACAAGCUAUUGGAAAACUGCAAACUGCUUUAUCAGUUCCAAGUAAGGAUCUUUGUGUCUUGGUAUUCUGUGCAGAUAAUUGUGUGUUUGCAUGGAUUUUUUAUGUUAGUUUGACUUUACUUGCAUGCGUUUUCAUAGACAAGUUUUUGAGGAGAGAAUUGCUGAUUACCAAAACGUCCAUUAAAAGUAUGUGAAUCCUGCAUAUCAUGUCUUACACAGACAAACAUUUUAUUAUUUAAUAGACAUAUGUUGUUAAUGUAUCAUAAACCUGCAAAUCUUUUUGUGCAGAAAUAAACAAACAUCCUUAAAUUCAGUAAACUGACCGCGUCCUUCAGCUUCCACCACAUACUCAGAGUGGAAGUUUUCACCAAAGCGUCUAUGUUGGUUUUUUAAUUCUGAAGAGCAGGAUUCAGGGAUUCCAAAACAGACUGAGAUUGUCUUACUUUUUCAUUCAUUCUUUAGUAGAUUUGCUGCAUUUUUUCUUUUUUUUUUGGAUAAUUGCCGUGUUGGAAUAUGGAGUUUGGUGCAACAUCAAUGCCAACCUUUGAUUUCAUGGUUAGAUACCCAGAUAAUCCAUUAUCAUGCUUGGCAGAUAAGUUUAUGGGGAUUGUAGGUAGUUUUAGGUUUGUGCCAAACAGUGUUUUUGGUUGCACAUAAAACUGCAAAUUAAUUUCAGACGUUUUUUUUUUUUUUUUAAACAAAAGUUUCUACUUGACUGUCCUCACUUGAAUAUUUUUACAUAGUUCAUGUUUAAUUGUUAUGUGAGAACAUUUUGAUAUAAGCUGAUGUAGCAAAAAAAAUGUAAAUGAAUUAAAAUGAAAUUAAAAGCACAUAUUCACUAUCACUUGUAGAAUUCUGUAACUUACAUACUGAAAUAUGCUGUAAAAUCCAUGAUAUUAAUGUUAUUAAAAACCAUAAUAAACACCUAAAUGCAACUGUAAUAUUUAGCUAACACAGCUAUUUGUGUGUCUUCACUUUAAAUACAACUCUGUUUUGUUUGACAACAGCUGCCACCAAUUAAUUUUUUUUGGUUCAGAAAGUACCAUACAAACAUAAACCUUAACAGUGGUCAUCAUGAAGCACUUCUUGCAGGUGGAAAGAUGGGUUGCCUUUUGUUGCGUAAACAGUCAGACGUGUGUUUGGUGUGUAUCGCCUUUGCCUCUUGGCUGCUAAGGUCAGCUGAACCACAGAAUGUAGACACAUGGAGAAAUGUUCUCCUGGCAAACGUAAGUGCUGCCUGUGCCAUUCGGUACCUGAGGACGUUCAUCCGCGACGACACAGCCAUCGACAAAUUGUAACUCCACAUCCCUGCUUCACAUCUUAAUCACCCUUUCCCCAAAGCGAGGAGGCCAGAGUCCUAUUUUAAACAAAUGUAUGCAAUGGAAAGCGUUUCAAACAUUUCAAAAACUGCUAAAUUUUGUGUGAAUAGCUACAUUUUAAAAAAAUAUAUGAGGAAAGAUAUCUCUUGAUUUAUUGAAGUUCUGUUAAUUUCUUGAUUUUAUAAUGUCAAAACCCUUAACUGCUUACAAUCUGUUUUAUAUUAUAUAAAGAAGUACAACAUUUUGUAUUUUUCUGUGAUGAUUGUAUGUGCUUGAAAAAUAUUAGGAUCUGAUUUUGACAUUUACCAUAAUAGCAGUAAUGCUGUAGCUAAGUUCGUUUUGCAUGUUGUUUGAUGUCUGAACGAAAAACACAGGCUUUGUAUAACUUUUAAGAAAUGCAAGAUUUUGUAUAGAUACAUGGUUUGUACAAUAUAAAUAUGUAUGAAACAAAAUAUAUCAUAAAUGCAACUUUCACACAA